rnacentral:rRNA from 1 species
AAAUUGAAGAGUUUGAUCAUGGCUCAGAUUGAACGCUGGCGGCAGGCCUAACACAUGCAAGUCGAACGGUAACAGGAAGCAGCUUGCUGCUUUGCUGACGAGUGGCGGACGGGUGAGUAAUGUCUGGGAAACUGCCUGAUGGAGGGGGAUAACUACUGGAAACGGUGGCUAAUACCGCAUAACGUCGCAAGACCAAAGAGGGGGGACCUUCGGGCCUCUUGCCAUCAGAUGUGCCCAGAUGGGAUUAGCUUGUUGGUGAGGUAACGGCUCACCAAGGCGACGAUCCCUAGCUGGUCUGAGAGGAUGACCAGCCACACUGGAACUGAGACACGGUCCAGACUCCUACGGGAGGCAGCAGUGGGGAAUAUUGCACAAUGGGCGCAAGCCUGAUGCAGCCAUGCCGCGUGUAUGAAGAAGGCCUUCGGGUUGUAAAGUACUUUCAGCGGGGAGGAAGGUGUUGUGGUUAAUAACCGCAGCAAUUGACGUUACCCGCAGAAGAAGCACCGGCUAACUCCGUGCCAGCAGCCGCGGUAAUACGGAGGGUGCAAGCGUUAAUCGGAAUUACUGGGCGUAAAGCGCACGCAGGCGGUCUGUCAAGUCGGAUGUGAAAUCCCCGGGCUCAACCUGGGAACUGCAUUCGAAACUGGCAGGCUUGAGUCUUGUAGAGGGGGGGUAGAAUUCCAGGUGUAGCGGUGAAAUGCGUAGAGAUCUGGAGGAAUACCGGUGGCGAAGGCGGCCCCCUGGACAAAGACUGACGCUCAGGUGCGAAAGCGUGGGGAGCAAACAGGAUUAGAUACCCUGGUAGUCCACGCCGUAAACGAUGUCUACUUGGAGGUUGUGCCCUUGAGGCGUGGCUUCCGGAGCUAACGCGUUAAGUAGACCGCCUGGGGGAGUACGGCCGCAAGGUUAAAACUCAAAUGAAUUGACGGGGGGCCCGCACAAGCGGUGGAGCAUGUGGUUUAAUUCGAUGCAACGCGAAGAACCUUACCUGGUCUUGACAUCCACGGAAGGUCUCAGAGAUGAGACUGUGCCUUCGGGAACCGUGAGACAGGUGCUGCAUGGCUGUCGUCAGCUCGUGUUGUGAAAUGUUGGGUUAAGUCCCGCAACGAGCGCAACCCUUAUCCUUUGUUGCCAGCGAUUAGGUCGGGAACUCAAAGGGAGACUGCCAGUGAUAAACUGGAGGAAGGUGGGGAUGACGUCAAGUCAUCAUGGCCCCUACGACCAGGGCUACACACGUGCUACAAUGGCGCAUACAAAGAGAAGCGACCUCGCGAGAGCAAGCGGACCUCAUAAAGUGCGUCGUAGUCCGGAUUGGAGUCUGCAACUCGACUCCAUGAAGUCGGAAUCGCUAGUAAUCGUGGAUCAGAAUGCCACGGUGAAUACGUUCCCGGGCCUUGUACACACCGCCCGUCACACCAUGGGAGUGGGUUGCAAAAGAAGUAGGUAGCUUAACCUUCGGGAGGGCGCUUACCACUUUGUGAUUCAUGACUGGGGUGAAGUCGUAACAAGGUAACCGUAGGGGAACCUGCGGUUGGAUCACCUCCUUA